UGCCCCCUGCCGUGUUCGUGAUGGGGGGAUCUUUUUUGAGCCAACAGAUACAAAAAGGGGAGCCGUCUCUCGCCGCGGUGUGUAUGCCUUUCUCUGAAAGGAAACCUUAAACGGCAAAACGGUGCCCACCUGUAACAAACAGGUUCAAAUAAAACACCAACACACGGCACUGCUGCGGGGGGCAU
rnacentral:other from 1 species